rnacentral:misc_RNA from 1 species
GUAGGUGAACCUGCGGAAGGAUCAUUAUUGAAUAUUCUUGAUGGGUUGUAGCUGGCUCUUAGGAGCAUGUGCACGCUUGUCUUGACUUUAUUCAUCCACCUGUGCACUUUUUGUAGUCUUGGGGGUUAAGUGCAGUCACCCGUCGGAUGGCUAUGGCUGAUCCGGAUGUGAGGAAUGCUGAGUGCGAAAGCAUCAGCUCUCUUCAACGACUUGCAACGCCCUUGAGUACUAUGUAUUCAUACACCACAUAGUAUGUUGUAGAAUGUGAUCAAUGGGUCUAUGUACCUAUAAUAAUCAAAUACAACUUUCAGCAACGGAUCUCUUGGCUCUC